UGAAGAGUCUCAAGUGUGAAGUCAGCAUCAGUUGCCAGGAUCUAAAUUUUCCAGAACUACUCUAUCAGCACCUGGCCUCACGGCCACUCCUGAUAACAGCUGAGAAGAUUCACCAAGGAACAAGCCCAACCACAUCAGGGAUGAAUGGGCAGGUGAAAUCAAAGGAGAGAAUUGGAUUUGUAAGAAGAUUAGGAGAAGACAACAAUCCCUAGCCACGUUUACUAUCUGCUGGACCACAGGCACAGGCAUGGACCGCCCAGGAUGGUCCUAGCUAAAAACAGCCUUCAGGAGCAUGAUGGUUUCUCAGCUGUUAGAUGGACAAGAUUCACUGCUGGCAUUUCGUCUAGACUCCACCCCACAGUUAUCUGGCAACAGUCAGGUGUGCCUGACUCACUAUAAAAGUGGCUCUCUCUUGUUCUCGCUCUCUAGCUUUCGCCCCUGCUCUGUCCCCUUGCUCCUGCUCCCUCUCUUUCCCUACUACCCUCCGCCUCUCUCUCCAAGUGCUCAAGUCCGGCCUCUACUCUCCCCAUGCCCUGAAUAAACUCUAUUUUAUACUGUA